AAAUACAUGUAUAUGAGAUUACAUCAUUGAUGAAUACAAUUAUCUGGCAUAGCCCUAAGGCUAUUAAAUGACAGCGGAAGUCUGGAAAAAAUGGCGGCGGAAGUCUUGGUUUGGCAGCAUAACAACUCUGGCUGGGCUCCACAACUCACAGGACUGGCAAGGUUACGGCCUAGCACGACGGAUCAAGCGAACAAUUCGGGUAUGACCUACAAAACUGGCAUGACACGCCAGGUCAGUACAUUGAAUGUACUUGCAAGACAACCAAAUACAUAGCAUCCAAACAAGCAGAAGACAAAGCAAGAACCAAGCGCAUGCAACAACCUAUCUCAUAUCAAUUACUAAACAUGGCAUGACAAAAAUUCAACUAAGCAUGAACCAAAUCAUAACAUCUACUAACAUGGCAAUGACAUGGCAUAUCAGAUCAUGCUUCUAACAUGGCAAUGGCAAAGCAUAUCAUCUCAAUCAUGGCAUAAUUUAACAUGUCAAUCGAAGCAUGGAAUGGCAUCAUGAAACUAUGCUGAAAAUAAACUACCGAUUAUAUCCAAUGCAGACAUAGCAUGUUAACUAUAUACAAUCAUCUUCUGUUCUGCCUUAGGUUUUUAAAUGCAACAAAUUACUCAUGCAAUGCAACCAAACUCGUACACCGAGUCCCUCAGACUCUCUUACCAACGUGUUGCCUCGCAACCGAGCGGUGAUCAUUCCGGCGAUCACAACCAUGACCAACACUUGGUCUCCAACACUUAUCGGGACCUCGUCUCGUGAUCAUAUCAAAACAUCGUCGUGACUUCUCACGACUAUCUCAUAGUCCAAGUCACCAUAUUUUUGUUAUCACAUAUUUAUUUACCAAUUUAAUUAUUUCAGGUUUAUCCUCCAUUUCGACCAAGACCUGAUAGUGGGACCUACUACGAACUAUUGCUAUCGAUAGACUUUAUACACUCUGCACAGGUAGCACACUGUACCCACACCACGGAACCCAUGGCCUCGUCAUCCCAUUUGAGAGGACCAACGGCAUUCCGACGAAACCAACCUACUGCCAUGACGCUCUCCCGGCCACUCCGACCCAAUCCCCAACGGGCUGGUCCUGGGUGGCCCCGUGUCUACUAAAGACGCCCCGACCACCGUCGUGGUCAACUCCCACUCGGGGACUGGUACCAAAAAUCUCAAAAACGAGCACACAAGGUUAUGUCCGCUUACCUGAUCAGGGUAAGCACGCCCAUAACCUUCCCUAGUGGGAGGCACCGGCGAGAGGUCACGACAAUAGCUCGCAUUAAGGCCUUCCCACAAAGGCAAAUGUGGCUGCACUGAAAAAGUUCGAUUUGGUGGCACUAUGACUCGAUCCCAUCGAUGACGGAGGAGGUUUGUUAUUAUUAAGUCAUUUUAAUUCCUUCUCCAUCAUCACGAACAUGAAUGCAACAAUGAGCAUGCAGCAUACGAUUGCAUGAACAAAAUAUUGAACUACUCAAGUGCACAGCUAUAGCAUAAAGAACAUGACAAUACCAAGUAAUAGCAUAUCAACGGUGCAUUACAAUCCUCAUAACAUUGUAUAACGAUGACAUGCAAAUAAAGUAGAGUAGUGAAAUGGCAUUAUCAAUAACAACAUUUUAAUUAGCAUGGCAAAAGAUAUCAUGAAAACGCAAGCAUGCGUGACAGGCAUAAAGGAAUAACUGUAGAUGAAAACGAUAUGAAACAACUGCAACUACACACACACAAGGUGCAAGCAAAGUCAACAUGCAAGUUCGGGGCUCAUGAUAAGAGGUUGGCUUGCCUGGGGGUCGAGGAAUACUCCGGGAAAAAAAGUGGAGCGAUCGCGGAAAGAGUUGCCGGAAACAGUUCUCUCUUGGAGGGGCUGUUUACGGGCAAUGGCAAAAUGGUCAUUUUCAAAAUGUUCGAACAUCAAGAAAAUGGUCCCAUCGAAAAGGGCUCGACGAACAGAAAAAUUGAGCGUUGGAAUCACCUUAUUCGGAGUUACGGGUAAAAAGAUACCGACGUUUAAAGCUCAGGGACUAGUCUGUAAAAAUACUUCUACAAACAGGUCCCUGGUAGUUUAAACAGAACGUGUCUUUUCUGAAAAUACGUUUUCCAGAGAGGAAACGUAUUCCCGGCCGAAGGAGAGGAAAAAUACGCUUUCAGAGAUUGAAAGCGCACUUUCCCGAAAUGCGCUUUCGCGCGGGGAAAACGACUUCGCGGUGGGGCGCCGCCACUUAUCCGACGUGGCAAGCGGGGCCACGGCCUACGUCGCCAACAGGUGGGGCCGCGCGGGAAGGGGGCCUGCCUGGCCCUGGCGUCUUCAACCUCCCGCUCGGGAUCGAGCGAGGCCGAGGGAGGGGGUCGCCUCGACGGCGGUCGCCGGCGCGUCCGGCCACCACAUGGGGCGCGCGACCUACCUAGACGCUCAGGGCGGAGAGGCGCAUCAGAUGGAGGUCUCCGUUGCCGGCGACGAGCACGGGAGAGGGAGUCACACAGCCCGCGGCGGAGAGGGGCUACGGCCUCCGGUGAACUAGGGGCUCCGGUGGGGAAAACGGUCGGGCGAGGCGAUGGGGAGGCUUGACGGACUCCGGGCGAGGCUCUGGUGGAGUCUAAAUGGCAAGGACCGCGCGGGAUCGCCGGAAUCGAGAGGGACCCGAGGCGGCGACCACAGCGGCGAUGGAAGUGGAGGAGUGACACCGGGGACGAGAGGAGGGGUUGGGGAGGCGUAGAGGAGGGUGAGGAAUCUCAUGAAGAGCUCGAGGGGGUCGCGGGCUCCUUUUAUAGCCGGGGCGAGGGGUGGCCGAGCCGUGCACAACCGAGCGCGUCCGUCCACGGCUCUGCCGGCCGCAGCAGUCACGGAAGUGCACGGGAAGGCGACGAGGAGGGUCAAGACGAGCAGCAGAGGCUCAUGGAGACGAGAGGCGCUCGGGGACGAAAGGAGGAAGCGGACAAAGGCGAGGAAGAUGACAAGCUCACGGGCGCGCACUGCUCGGUCGUUGGCACGGCUCGUCGAAGAAGAAAACGAAGGGGGGCAGCGGUCCAGAGGGAAGACGACGACGAGGGGGGGGGGCUACUGGACAUUAAUGGCGAGGCCAGAGGCGGUCGGGGCAGCGAUGCCGACGACCACAGUGGCUAGACCACCGUUUUGGCUGGCUACACGCGUGGUCACCACUAGCAUGGCACGCUCUGGGGUAUUUUACUGAUAUAAGUUCAUGUCUACCGCGUAGUCCUUCCAGAGUGGAGUGUUACCAUGGUGAAUGAUCGGGCAGAGACAAAUGGAGAUGAGUGAAACAAGCUCCACAAGUUUGUUGUUGCAAACUUGGCAACACCCUAGAUAUUAAACCAGAGAGGGUAAAUGGUAAACUUGAUGUCUGGGAGGCUUGGGGUAGAAAGGACUACGGUCCUGGGAGUUUUGAGGUAAAAUGGACAACUAUUUACCAUAGUUGCUGUACAACCACCAAAACGGACCCAGAAACUUAAUCAUGAUGAAACACUCACUAGGAGUGAUGGAUUGGGCUAUAACUUGGCAAAGCCUGAUGAUUUGAACAUAUCAUGAUGCUGUAAAAAGUUCAUACCAAAUGGACUCACCAAAAUGGUACUUCCUUCACAGCUAUCAUUUCUGUCCAAAAACUUCAGACAAAUCCUCAGGGCAAUUGGUCAAGUGAAAUGAGCCACAAUCUUGUGGAGAUAGGUUAUAUGAGUAGGAGAAGGCCUGGAAAUAUUAUCAGCCAUAAUGGAGCAAGAUAAAAUACACUUGCUUCACAAACUAAAAAUUUGGACAGAAAACAAGAAUUGCUCCUGUGCUCACAUAGUUCAAUGAAAUGAACUGAAUUUGGGUGGAGGAUAAUGAUUUGAGAUACUUGAGAGGAUGGAAGAGUUUCAUCCCAUUGGGAAACACUAUGAAGGUACUUCCUUCACAAACUUGUGUUCUGGUCAGAAACUUUGAAAAAUUGCACAGGGAGCUAGGGUGAAUGGAUUGAGCUCAUCUUUGGUAUGCAUGGGUUAUUUAACAAUGUUAAGCACCCUUCCAAAUUGCAGCUCAAUUGGACUUAGCAAUAAAGCACUUCCUUUGCAAAAUUUCAAAGAAGGCAGAAACUUGCAUUGGAUCAUGUGCCAAAUUUUGAACUGUGGAAUCAUGAUAUUAGGAUGGAACUAGUGAUUAUAUAGCAAGGACAAGCUCCACAAUUUAUGUGGGAAUUUUCUCUGCUAUAAAAAUAGUAGUUCCUUUGGAAAUUGGCAGAAAUGCAAUAUUGGCAUUAAAUAGGAAAAGGCUAUUUUCAUUAUUUAAUUAUGGCCAAUAUACUUGCCAGUGCUUGGAUUAGGCAUAAGUAUCAACUCCACCAACUCUCAUGAAUUUAGGAGAUGGCUAGAUAUGCCUUUGGAUUUUAUUCCUCAGAAAGGCAAGAAAAGGAAUAAAUCAUAAUUCAAAAAUAUUGCAUUCGACUUAGCAAUAUUUUUGCAUAUCCAAGGUUAAGAAAGAUAGGAUGAUCUCUGGGAUCAAUUGGGAGGAUCAACAGAACAAGGAAAAUGGUCGCUCCUUUGAUCACAAGGGCAUAUCCAAAUUCCAAAAUUUGGAAUUAGGGUUUAAGAGGAAUUGAGCUGAUGCAAAUGAGGUCUUGCCCACUGAAAAAGACAUGAGCAGGAUUUUGAAAGGUUGGAAAUGACAAAAUUUUCUCAGGGUCAUCCAGCAAACUCAGGAGAAAAUUUUGAAAAUGAGUGCCAGGAGAGAAUAACAGCACAAAAAUUGAUAACCCAAUUUUGGGGCUGUUACAACUCUUCCCCCCUUAAAAAGAAAUCUCGUCCUCGAGAUUCCUAGGGUUACUGCACAAACGAAAGAAUAACAACUCCGGAGAAAAACCUCGGGGUUGAUUUUAACCCUUUGGUUAAAUUCAAACGAGUUGGGGGCACCGAGAAAAAAAAAUCGCGGAUUCCUUCACGAAACAUAGGUGUCGAGGUAGAAUCAAGGGUGAAACCUGUAUCGGGGUAGAUGUACUGGAUCGAGUGAAAUAAAAUUGGCAGUGUUUCUCGUAAAUGAAAUCAGGAAAAAGAAUUAGAGACGAGGAAUUUCCAAGCGAAAAUGCCUCUGCGGGGUUUCUAGAGUUGGAAAUCCGACACACGGCGUAUGCACAGAUAGAUAGGGAUAUGUGACUUUGCAUUUCCCCGAGUACUGCCCGAAUGUACUUGUGGGUGAACCGGGUAUGCGUGCAGUAUGCAGAAAAAUCUAAACUAGCAAACAGACAGAGGCAAUAAACAUGCAACGGGAAAGACACCAGGCAAAAUCAUUCUACGGUGUUUUAAUGCUAGUGGGUAUAUGUACUCCUGGUAUACAUAUACCUACACCAGCGCGCAUUUUAUUAUAGACUCGAGAUGAGUCAGGGUUAAUUUAGUGUAUGUGAUCUACUAAUUAAAAUCUUGUUAGCAACACAGUGUCAACCCUGUCAAACAUUUCUGCUUGACAGAGAGACAAGCAAAAACAACACAAAAACAAAAGCACAAAAACAUACAUAGAACACGGCAUACGGACUACAACAGUACCAGCAAACAACAGAACACGAACAUGCUACGCGCUAAACGAAGCAACUCAUCUAGGGAUACAUAGUUCUACCCUCAUAUCGAGGAUGAACUGACAGACCGAUCAUCUUACUGCUUGACUGAGGUCAUGCAGAGGAUUUGCCUUGCUGGGGCUCUCCGGGAGGACGAAGACUGAACCAAUCUCCAUCUUCAUCAUCCGACACUACUAUGGGUUGGGGUUCGGCUGCUGGGGGUGUGGCUGAAAUUGAUCCGAGCAAAUGCUGUUGGUGGAUCUGUAAAAGAGCCUUGUCGAGGGUGACGAUAUUGGGUCUAGGCCACAAGACGGGUUGAGAGGACAGCACUGGUUCGGAUGGCGUUGGACAAAUGACUCAAGAUGCGAAUUUACGAGCCUCACGGUAAGCUUCCUUGAUGACUCGCACCGCAUCGUUGUCCAAAGUUUGAAACUCGGCAAGCAUCUAGGAAAUCAUCAUCCCCUGGGCGGUAAUAUACUGCACUAGGCGAGCGAUUGCGGGGUCAUCUCCUUGCCUAGCGGGAGAAGGCUGCAUUCCUACCUCUGUCACAAUGGGGUAGAAGCAGAAAUCACGCCUUGCUGCCAUAUGCGGGUAUCUGGUUCGGAGGUGAAGCAUAGCCUCCACAGCAGCGGCCUGAAUGGCUAAAUCAGAGGUAGGCAUAGCUCUAUCCUGAAAAACCAACGGCUGGCCAUCCGCUGCUAGGCUGAUGCACACUCUUGCAUCGAAACGAUGAAGGUGAGGGAUGGGUGAUGAUUGGAACACCAGGUAAUCGGGGCUAGCCUUACAGCCAAAGGCUUUGGUGAGCAUCUCAGCAAGAAGGGGUGGAAAGCCGGGGUGGUUGACAGCACCGGUGCGGGUGUGAAACUUGGGAGCCUUGAAGGUGCCAGUCAUGGCUGGAGUGCUACUAGCUAGGCUUCUCUGCAGGGACAUGGCUGACUGAGGGGUGAGCGAUACAGCGAGCGGAAAGGAGGCUUUUAUAGGCAGCUAUGCGGGACAUGCCCGCAUGGUGUGGCCCCUUUCCCUUAAUGGCGAAGGGUGAGCGGUGUGGCCGACCAGAAAGGAUAUGGUUGCUAUUCGCACCACGGAUAACUAGGCGGGGACAGCGGGGUGAGGACGUGUCCAUCCCGACUGCGCCACCUAUUGAUUAACAGUGGCCAUGCCGGAUGCAGGGAUGGGUCAAAUCCCUUAGGGCCAUUACUGGUUAAUGGGAGCGGUGAUCUAAUACUAGGAUAACCUAUGCCAGCCUUGCUGCUCUGAUACCAUGCCCUGUGGCACCCCGAUCUGCAUGGAGCAGGGGGCCUUCGCACGUCAGCCCAAGAUAACACCUGACGCACGACAGGUCCAUAAUACAGCAUUCCAGGUACAAAAAUAUUCAUCAAAUACAUGUAUAUGAGAUUACAUCAUUGAUGAAUACAAUUAUCUGGCAUAGCCCUAAGGCUAUUAAAUGACAGCGGAAGUCUGGAAAAAAUGGCGGCGGAAGUCUUGGUUUGGCAGCAUAACAACUCUGGCUGGGCUCCACAACUCACAGGACUGGCAAGGUUACGGCCUAGCACGACGGAUCAAGCGAACAAUUCGGGUAUGACCUACAAAACUGGCAUGACACGCCAGGUCAGUACAUUGAAUGUACUUGCAAGACAACCAAAUACAUAGCAUCCAAACAAGCAGAAGACAAAGCAAGAACCAAGCGCAUGCAACAACCUAUCUCAUAUCAAUUACUAAACAUGGCAUGAUAAAAAUUCAACUAAGCAUGAACCAAAUCAUAACAUCUACUAACAUGGCAAUGACAUGGCAUAUCAGAUCAUGCUUCUAACAUGGCAAUGGCAAAGCAUAUCAUCUCAAUCAUGGCAUAAUUUAACAUGUCAAUUGAAGCAUGGCAUGGCAUCAUGAAACUAUGCUGAAAAUAAACUACCGAUUAUAUCCAAUGCAGACAUAGCGUGUUAACUAUAUACAAUCAUCUUCUGUUCUGCCUUAGGUUUUUAAAUGCAACAUAUUACUCAUGCAAUGUAACCAAACUCGUACACCGAGUCCCUCGGACUCUCUUACCAACGUGUUGCCUCGCAACCGAGCGGUGAUCAUUCCGGCGAUCACAACCAUGACCAACACUUGGUCUCCAACACUUAUCGAGACCUCGUCUCGUGAUCAUAUCAAAACAUCAUCGUGACUUCUCACGACUAUCUCAUAGUCCAAGUCACCACAUUUUUGUUAUCACAUAUUUAUUUACCAAUUUAAUUAUUUCAGGUUUAUCCUCCAUUUCGACCAAGACCUGAUAGUGGGACCUACUACGAACUGUUGCUAUCGAUAGACUUUAUACACUCUGCAGAGGUAGCACACUGUACCCACACCACGGAACCCAUGGCCUCGUCAUCCCAUUCGGGUGGACCAACGGCAUUCCGACAAAACCAACCUACUUCCAUGACGCUCUCCCGGCCACUCCGACCCAAUCCCCAACGGGCUGGUCCUGGGUGGCCCCGUGUCUACCAAAGACACCCCGACCACCGUCGUGGUCAACUCCCACUCGGGGACACUCCCACUCGGGGACUGGUACCAAAAAUCUCAAAACGAGCACACAAGGUUAUGUCCGCUUACCUGAUCAGGGUAAGCAUGCCCAUAACCUUCCCUAGUGGGAGGCACCGGCGAGAGGUCACGACAAUAGCUCGCAUUAAGGCCUUCCCACAAAGGCAAAUGUGGCUGCACUGAAAAAGUUCCAUUUGGUGGCACUAUGACUCGAUCCCAUCGAUGACGGAGGAGGUUCGUUAUUAUUAAGUCAUUUUAAUUCCUUCUCCAUCAUCAUGAACAUGAAUGCAACAAUGAGCAUGCAGCAUACAAUUGCAUGAACAAAAUAUUGAACUACUCAAGUGCACAGCUAUAGCAUAAAGAACAUGACAAUACCAAGUAAUAGCAUAUCAACGGUGCAUUACAAUCCUCAUAACAUUGUAUAACGAUGACAUGCAAAUAAAGUAGAGUAGUGACAUGGCAUUAUCAAUAACAACAUUUUAAUUAGCAUGGCAAAAGAUAUCAUGAAAACGCAAGCAUGCAUGACAGGCAUAAAGGAAUAACUGCAGAUGAAAACGAUAUGAAACAAUUGCAACUACACACACGCACAAGGUGCAAGCAAAGUCAACAUGCAAGUUCGGGGCUCAUGAUAAGAGGUUGGCUUGCCUGGGGGUCGAGGAAUACUCCGGAAAAAAAUGCGGAGCGAUCGCGGAAAGAGUUGCCGGAAACAGUUCUCUCUUGGAGGGGCUGUUUACGGGCAAUGGCAAAAUGGUCAUUUUCAGAAUGUUCAAACAUCAAGAAAAUGGUCCCAUCGAAAAGGGCUCGACGAACAGAAAAAUUGAGCGUUGGAAUCACCUUAUUCGGAGUUACGGGUAAAAAGAUACCGACGUUUAAAGCUCAGGGACUAGUCUGUAAAAGUACUUCGACAAACAGGUCCCUGGUAGUUUAAACAGAACGUGUCUUUUCUGAAAAUACGUUUUCCAGAGAGGGAAACGUAUUCCCGGCCGAAGGAGAGGGAAAAUACACUUUCAGAGUUUGAAAGCGCACUUUCCAGAAAUGCGCUUUCGCGCGGGGAAAACGACUUCACGGCGGGGCGCCGCCACUUAUACGACGUGGCAAGCGGGGCCAUGCCCUACGGUCGCCGACAGGUGGGGCCGCGCGGGAAGGGGGCCCGCCUGGCCCUGGCGUCUUCAACCUCCCGCUCGGGAUCGAGCGAGGCCGAGGGAGGGGGUCGCCUCGACGGCGGUCGUCGGCGCGUCCGGCUACCACACGGGCCGCGCGACCUACCCAGACG
rnacentral:lncRNA from 1 species